AUUGAACGCUGGCGGCAGGCCUAACACAUGCAAGUCGAGCGGAUGACGGGAGCUUGCUCCUGGAUUCAGCGGCGGACGGGUGAGUAAUACCUAGGAAUCUGCCUGGUAGUGGGGGACAACGUUUCGAAAGGAACGCUAAUACCGCAUACGUCCUACGGGAGAAAGCAGGGGACCUUCGGGCCUUGCGCUAUCAGAUGAGCCUAGGUCGGAUUAGCUAGUUGGUAAGGUAAUGGCUCACCAAGGCGACGAUCCGUAACUGGUCUGAGAGGAUGAUCCAUCACACUGGAACUGAGACACGGUCCAGGCUCCUACGGGAGGCAGCAGUGGGGAAUAUUGGACAAUGGGCGAAAGCCUGAUCCAGCCAUGCCGCGUGUGUGAAGAAGGUCUUCGGAUUGUAAAGCACUUUAAGUUGGGAGGAAGGGCAGUAAGCGAAUACCUUGCUGUUUUGACGUUACCGACAGAAUAAGCACCGGCUAACUCUGUGCCAGCCGCCGCCGUAA
rnacentral:rRNA from 1 species